UUAUUCUGUGGCUUCCGCACUGUGAUGUAUUCAUCGUAGCUGAUGUACGAUGAUUUUUUGAUGAACUAUACUGCUUAGCUUGUUGGCCAUUCUGAUUUUGUAGAAAAUGAACAAUAAUAAAGUAGUUGUACCACGGCUAUAGACAUGCUUUUCUUUGGCCCCGUUUAGUAUUUAUGCAUCCACAUGAUUAUAUCCAUGCUUUUAAAAAAUCCAGUAUGUUAUUGAUCAUCUCAUUUUUGUCACAUCAGCACUAGGCCAGUAGCUAUAAGCGGGUCAUAGUUCUGAAACUAUGGCGGCGUGUGGCUAGCUUUAGCGACAGGUAGCAAUCUGUGGCUUCGAUGGGCGGCCAGGUCAAAAGGUCAAAGUACGCCAUUUGGUAAUUUUUUUUGUGUGUUGACAUACAUGUAUCUGUUAGUCUGUUCCUUAAUUUUCUAAUUGCGUGCUGUCGAAUUACGAGAUCUGUGGGGUCUGUACUGACGAAUUACGCAGCACACAACCACUGCCAAUGGCAAGACAACUGAAGAAGUUUUCCAUGGCCAGAUCGACGUCAAAGUGACACCAUACAAUCACAUACAUCAAAGAUCAAGUGCUCACCAUUAAACGGGAAUGGCAUAUAGCUUCUGCUCUCAACUAAGCAAGCCUGGCACUUAUGGCAAAUGGAAAGGAACUAGCAUUUCACUCAACAGAUGAUUCUGCCAUUUGGACAAUGUAAUUUGUUACAUAGAUUGUUUCCACUAUUUAUUGUAGGGCAAAUGAGUCCACGCUUGUAGUUCUUAUGGAUGCGAUUGAGCAUCAGUGUUACAAUGCCCUCCAGUCAUCAUGACACUUUCUUUAUGCCAGGAUUCCUAUACUGUGUUGGCACCUGGAAUUCUUAGGUCACAUUUUAUCCAAUUUUAAUGGGAAGAAAUGUAUUUAAUUAUUUACA